AUCUGUAUUCUUUGUCUAAGCGGUAACCCCGUGGAGGCCUAGUGAAAGCGAGCGUGAAUAGCGCGAAUAUAGAGUACGGAUACGACCCGAAGCGGGAUGAGCUUGCCAUGUGCAGGGUGAAGCGAAGGUAAAACUUCGUGGAGGCCCGAACCGGUUGGCCGUUCAAAACCAUCGGAUGACAUGUGGUAGGGAGUGAAAAGCUAAUCGAAUUCCGUAAUAGCUGGUUCUCUCCGAAACAGCUUUAGGGUUGGCGUCGCGUGUUCCUCCUGGGGGUAGAGCACUGGAAGGUUUAAAUAGGGAGAAAUCUCGUUAAACCUAUCAAACUACGAAUACCAGGCAGUUAGAGCGCGGCAGUUAGACUACGGGGGAGAAGCUCCGUUGGUCGAAAGGGAAACAGCCCAGACCGCCAGUUAAGGUCCCUAAAUAUAUACUCAGUGCAACUUGAGGAGGUGAGGAUUCAUCAACAGUCAGGAUGUUGGCUUAGAAGCAGCCAUCAUUUAAAGAAAGCGUAAACAGCUCACUGAUCGAGAGUCCUUGCG
rnacentral:rRNA from 1 species